CCGUGUUCAGGCCGCUGAGCUGCCGCUCUGAAACGAGCUGUUUGACGGUGAAUUUACGGAGUUACAAGAUGAAACAACCCAGCUGUAAACAUGUAAAAUAAUGUUAAUAAACUACGGUUGUUUUUGACUUAUUAACGGAAUACCAACGAGCUGCCGCGGUCGGACAAACUGAACGUUUUAAACUGGAGGAUGGAGGAGCAGAGACGGCCUGCUCUUCGGUUUGAACGGAUGGACGGAUGCAUGAUGGGAAGCGACGGCGGCCUGUACAGCAGAGAGGUUGAGGAGAGACCAAACGCACAGAAGACAAGCAGCUUCAGAUCGUCUCUCUGCGGAGAACUCCCGACCCCCCACUGCGCCUCCAGCACCUCCAG